ensembl:snRNA U4 U4 spliceosomal RNA
AGCUUUGCACAGUGGCCGUAUUAUAGCCAAUGAGGUUUACCCGCAGCACAAUUAUUGCUAUUUGAAAACUUUCAGCAAUACCCCACCAUAACUACUUGAAAUGUAAUCGGCAUUGGCAGUUUUUGACAGACUGGAAAAGU